rnacentral:rRNA from 1 species
CGGAAGAUGUAACGGGGCUAAGCAAUAUACCGAAGCUGCGGAUGCACAUUUAUGUGCAUGGUAGGAGAGCGUUCCGUAAGCCUGCGAAGGUGCAUUGAAAAGUGUGCUGGAGGUAUCGGAAGUGCGAAUGCUGACAUGAGUAGCGAUAAAGGGGGUGAAAGGCCCCCUCGCCGUAAGCCCAAGGUUUCCUACGCAACGUUCAUCGGCGUAGGGUGAGUCGGCCCCUAAGGCGAGGCAGAAAUGCGUAGCUGAUGGGAAGCAGGUUAAUAUUCCUGCACCAUUGUUAAAUGCGAUGGGGGGACGGAUCGCGGAAGGUUGUCCGGGUGUUGGAAGUCCCUGUCUCUUAUACACAUCU